UCUGGUUGCCAAAUAUGCAACAUAGGUCACUGCUAAGUUUGCUCCCGGCCGACGCUGACAUCUUCCACUCUGUUCAAGAUGAAAAGGAUCAUACUAACUGCAAUUGGUGUAUAAUAAUCAGCUUGGAGCCUGGGGAUUCAUGGAGUGAACAUGCAGAGCUGUUUCCUUCCAGCUGGGGCUGUCCUUUCUAUACCUGGGAGGUGGAGAAUGAGAAAGGUGGAGGAUAAGAACAGCAGGAAGCAGGGAAGAUAACUGCUCCGACCUUGGAGAGGCAAUCUUACAGAUAGAGGCCUGGCUGGUGUUGCCAACAGGGUUGCCAUGUCUGCAUGAACAUUACACAAAUUCAGUUACAGCAUGUUCAAUGAGUUCAUCACGGCCAAUAUGCAGCAAAAAAUUGAAACUAGCAGCACCUGUAAUAUUUCGGGUUAGUCUUUCCAUACAAAUAACACAACAGACUAAAGCGAACGAUGCAUUACGUGCAUUUUCUACCCGUCUAAAGGUCAGAUUCAUUUAAUGCUUAGUGCUAAUGAUACUACAGUGCAAACACACCCAUUAAAUUAUGCAUACAAGUUAAUUUUGUCUUUGUAAUCGUUCGAUUACAAGAUACAUGUGGCUAAGUACCAGUGGUAGUUUGAUGCCAAGAACACAUUAUGACAGGACAAUGGCAGGGGCAUCAAAAGCUGAUAUGGCUUUGUUAAUAUUUAAUCAUGGGCACAACUGACAUGACAUUGCCUUCUACUUACCAAAACCAAGGUUUCAAUGAUCACUGGAUUGUUUGGAUCUUCUUCAGUCAGCGUUUUUUUUUUGUGUGUGUGUGUGGGUCAUCUCAUAAAGGCCGUAUUUUGCACAUGCUGAAUUUUAAUGUAAGUGUCAGAAUCACUGGAGUCAGACUCUUUGUGCAUGGCAAAGCAGUUUUGACAAUUUUUUUUCACCCCUUUUGCCUUGUUUGUGCAGGUUUAGUGGCAACAGAAGUAGUGCAAGUAUUUAGUGAGCUUGUUUUUUAAUCUCCAACACAAUACCUAGUUGCAAACAGUUACUAUUCCUUUUGCAGAACUCCCUCAAUCGGAGUUGUUCAUUUGUU